CCUCCACCGUUGCAUGCCCAUCGGACCCCAUUUCCUCCUCUGUUUUCCCCUCGUUCCAAUUUCUGCUCCAGCCGACCUUUCGCCAAAGAUCCGAGUAAAAAGUUAACUUCCUGGUUGAAUUAGUGAACGAGCCACCCAUCGCCGCGAAGAAGAGACCCAGCCCGUUCUGGAGCACCUCACCGCUCGCUGGAACGAUUCUCCGGCUGUUCCGUACGACCUCCCGAAGCCGCCGCUCGCCGGACCGUCUGGACUCGCCUGGUUCCGCCUGUUCCGCCCGUUUCGCGGUUUUCAGUCAUUUUCUCCCCAUUUCUACCCUACCUCCACCCAUACCAACCACCAGCAAGAUCCCCUUGACCCCCGGGAGCCGCCGGUUGCCAACCACCCGCUCGCCGGAGCUCCGAUCAGCCCGUUUUCGCCGUUGAAGUUGCUGGUUUCUUCUCUGCAGUUCAGUCCAAAUCGAAGCGAGAAGACAGCAAGAAGUUCCAGACUUUGUGGCCCGUUUUCAAGCCCUUCCCGGCCUCCGUUGGUGUCGCCACUUUGGGGUUUAUCGACCGCCUUGGCGUCGUGGUCGUCGUGAACUCACCGGCGCGCAAAACCGGUCCCUAGAUGGCGGAUCCUCCGGAGCUUUUUGGUAGACCAGUGAGGGUCGCUGAGAGGAUUUUUGACUUCGCCGAUCCCGACUAAAGAGCUGGCGAAUGGACCUGUCUAGCUGAUCUUAGGACAGCCUAGUUUUUGAGGACUGAUCUUCUAUAGAUCUUUUGUAAAUAGCCUAGUCCUGUAAAUGAACUGGUUUGAUAUGUAUAAAAAGUAUGUGGUUGGUUUUAAAAAUGUGAUCCUGCUUUUCUAUCCCAAUUGAGUUUUGUCUGGGGAUUA